rnacentral:rRNA from 1 species
CAAUAGCGUAUAUUAAAGUUGUUGCGGUUAAAAAGCUCGUAGUUGGAUUUCUGCCGAGGACGACCGGUCCGCCCUCUGGGUGAGUAUCUGGUUCGGCCUGGGCAUCUUCUUGGAGAACGUAUCUGCACUUGACUGUGUGGUGCGGUAUCCAGGACUUUUACUUUGAGGAAAUUAGAGUGUUUACGGCAGGCAAACGCCUUGAAUACAUUAGCAUGGAAUAAUAAUAUAGGACCUGAGUUCUAUUUUGUUGGUUUCUAGAGCUUAGGUAAUGAUUAAUAGGGACACUUGGGGGCGAUUCGUAUUAACGCGUCAGAGGUGAAAUUCUUGGAUUGCGUUACGACGAACUACUGCGAAAGCAUUUGCCAAGGAUGUUUUCAUUGAUCAAGAACGAAAGUGUGGGAUCGAAGACGAUU